UAUAGUCAAGUAAUUAAGUGCAUGUGGUGGAUGCCUUGGCAGUCAGAGGCGAUGAAAGACGUGAUAGCCUGCGAAAAGCUCCGGGGAGGCGGCAAAUAUCCUUUGAUCCGGAGAUGUCUGAAUGGGGGAACCCACCUACUUUAAGGUAGGUAU
rnacentral:rRNA from 1 species